AAGAGGUCAUGUAGUGGUCAUGAAGAGGUCAUGUAGCAGACAUGAAGAGGUCAUGUAGCAGUCAUGAAGAGGUCAUGUAGCAGUCAUGAAGAGGUCAUGUAGCAGUCAUGUAGCAGUCAUGUAGCAGUCAUGAAGAGGUCAUGUAGCGGUCAUGAAGAGGUCAUGUAGCAGUCAUGAAGAGGUCAUGUAGCAGUCAUGAAGAGGUCAUGAAGAGGUCAUGUAGCAGUCAUGAAGAGGUCAUGUAGCAGUCAUGAAGAGGUCAUGUAGCAGUCAUGUAGCAGUCAUGUAGCAGUCAUGAAGAGGUCAUGUAGCGGUCAUGAAGAGGUCAUGUAGCAGUCAUGAAGAGGUCAUGUAGCAGUCAUGUUGGAGAAAAGAACAGAAGUUCAAGCUGAGCAGACGUGUUGGUGCUUAACUUAGCUUGAAGUGUUUCUGUCCUUUCCUUCAUCUGAUGUCACAGCUGUUAAAGCUCUAGAACCACCUGAUGGAACAUCUAUUCAAAAGUCCCUAUAUUAACACUUUAAAGUUAACAAAACUUUGAACACUUCUUGUAUUUUGGUAAUUUGUGAAAAAGGAAAAGGUUUAUUGAUUCUCUCAGUUGUAGCUGUUUCCUGUCUUCCUUUUUUCUAGUACUCAGUGUUUUACAACAUGUUGAAAUUUACUGCUUUAAGGAGACAAAAACUCUUUUACGAGCCAAAGCAAUGCAGGCUUUUUUCUUGUGAUGUUUUUUUUAAUGUAUUUUUGUAUUGAACCUUUUCUGCCCUAACACAUUAUAAAUGCAACCAACCCGUCUUCGUCUGUAUUUAUAAUAAAUCUUUUGUAUUUUGUGUACAAUAUGAUGUUGCAGUGCAUGACAUGUUCUUGCUUUUUUCUUUUGUAGUGCAAGAUAUUUAAAAAAUAGCUAUUUAGUUCUAAGUAUUGUUGGUUUAUUUAAAGGUUUUUCUCAUAUUUCUUACUUAUAAGGGCUGUAUUCAGGUACCUCUAAUUACUCUUCCAUGUCAGUGAAAAAAGACAGAUGAGUUGUGCAAUUUCUGUACGUGCAGUUAGAGGCGAUAGAAGUGGAUCUGCUGGACUGGGUUUUAGUUUUUCAUUAGAAUCUAAAUACAGUGCCACAAAUUAAAAUUGAUAAAAACCACAAUAAACUUUGGAACUGUUCAUAAAGGUUUCUUUUUUCAGAAAUGUGGAGUGCAGUGAAAACAAUGAGUCAUGAUACCUGUAAAUGUAAGCUAGAUUAUUAGUAUUUGUGUGUAAAAUGCUCAUUAUCACGUAAAGGUCACUUUCAUCCACCUCAGCACUUUAAAUCCCUGCAGAUUAAAAACAGAAAAGCUGCUGCUGUUUGUUGUAGAAAAACAAAACAAGAAGAAAACUACUGUGUGACAUGAAAACACUGUAUAAGCUCUGAUGAUCUAUAUUUCAAAGUACACAUUUCUACGCAAAAGUCUAUUUAAAACCUUGUGGCAACAUAAACUAUUAAAGAUUGUCAAGAACACACAGUUUUCUUGUUUUGUCUUUAUGUUUGAGUCUGCUUUAGUUUACUGUUAAAUGUGAAAAGUAUGGAAUGAAACAGGUCUUCAGCUCUGAUGUUGGGUGCUGUUUAUGCUGGGUGGCAGGAUAAUGAGGGUCUCUAGCUGUGCCAUUUUCUAGUAGCAAUACCUGACUAAUGCAGUGAUCCUGCAGCGCCACCGUGUGGCUACAUGUGGAACUGCAUCAACAACAAGUCCAACUAUCAUGAAGUGAAAUACAGAUCUUUUUAUUACAACAGAAUAAAGGUUUACUGUCAAAAAAUAACAAUGUACAAAUCAUUUUUUACAUUUCUUUUGGUAGAUUAAUCAUUUGCUUUUUCAUAAAUUGUAAUGUAAAAUCUAGAUUAUUAAGAAAGAAAUAUUUCAAACGAUACAUACAAAUCAAAGAUAAUAAAUUGCCUUUAAGGCAUUAAAUUCAUUAAAUACAAUUUCUGUCCAUGUAUUGGACCGCAGACAUGUCUCUGUUAGAAUCAAGCAGCGACAGAUAAUAAGUUCCACAAAACAGAUUAAUUAAAGAAAGUUUCAGUGCAGACCUGAGCAGCAACAUGUGACCUGGUUCUGCUUCUAUAGAAACACUGUUUUACACUGUCUCACUUACAUAAAGCAGAUAUAUAACAGUGUGAAUUAACUCAAGGGAAGACGAAAUAAGGUUUGACAGUUCCUGUGUUCAAAGAUGUUAUUAAACCUUCCUGAAUAAGCUCAGGUUUAACAGUAAAAAAAACCUUAGGAUUUACUGAUAAAUAUGUGUUUUAUAUAAAAACCUGUUUAACUGAGUCAGACUCAGAGUGUUAAAAGUUUCAUCUUAUCAUUUUGACCAGGACAAUAAAAAAA